ACAUUCUCAUCACGAGAUCAUUCGUCCAACAAACAAAUAAGGUCAGCUUUCUUCCGAAGCGACCGACAAUUGCCCGACUGUUAAGUGCUCGACGAUUUUGUCACCACAUGCAAGACGUUUUAUUUCAAUAAUUCGGGUUUCAAGUUUAUGACCAAGUUUUGGUCGCUGCAUGUGUGCAGGCCGUCGUCUAGUAUCGAUGAGUAGGAGGGAGAGCAUUACUGCGUAAACAGCACAAUCAUACGUUUAUCUUAUCGAUAUGCUAUCAAUUCAUCUUAAGAAUAGGGAGAUAAGCGAUGCCACGUCAUGUCAACUUGUAAGGAAUAAACAUAUCGCAGUUUACGGCACCCCGCAAGUUAUUUUCCGGCUCACAGCUGUCAAGAAGUAGAGGCGCUACGUUGAGGGACCCUGAAUUGUCGUUAAAAUCGUUCAAUACAAGCUUUUAAUAGUUUUCUCAGUACAGUUCUAACGUUGGUGACUUAAUGACGCAGUUAGUAAAUAGAAUUUUGCUGAGCAUCUCGCUGAUUACAACUGGUUCAGCGUUACACUGUUAUACAUGUAAACCAAACAAAACGUUGGCUAUUAAACCUGGAGAAUCUUCUUGCGUAGCAAAAAAAACAAAUUGUAAGAAUGCUUCUCACUGUCUGAGCAUUCGCAGGACCAUCUCGAAUUCCGUGUUGACGUAUAAGACAUGCGCGGAAAGUAAUCGUACAUGUGUCUCCGCUCACGUAGCUUGUCUGAAAUUAUUGAACAGUUCAAAAGCGUUGGAAUGCAAGGUACAUUGUUGUGAUGGCAAUUUUUGUAACCUCGAAGUGUAUAAUCAAUUAGUUACGAAUGGCGUCAGCUCCGUACCAGUCUCCAUAGCAACGCUGAUGAUGUUAUUGUGGCAUCUUCAUCAUCUGUGUGAUCUUUCUUUCACCUAAAAGGUGGUUCUGCUUGGUUGCUGUUCGUGAAUACAUUGAUUAACGUGGUGAACUAGAAUAUUUACAAUUGACCAAUCUUUACAAUUGACCAGCUACUGAUUUGCAUAUUGCGCGUAUAAACUUUUAAAAAAUGUUCAAUCGAUGAUGGAAAGAGGAACGUCUCCCAAAAACAGCACUUAAAUAGUUAGUUCUUGUAAAUAGGUAAAUAUUAUAAAGUAAUGAUUGAAUGAGACAAUUGAGCAGCAAAGCCAAGGUAUAUAUAUAUAAAACAAACUGACUAUAUUUAUACAAUU